rnacentral:snRNA from 1 species
AUACUUACCUGGCACAGGAGUGACUUUGAUCAAGGAGGAAUGUCCUCCCAAGGUGAGGUCUCGGCAUUGCACUUGGCUGAGGUUGGCCCUUACAAUUCCCCCAAAUGUGGGGAACUCGGGUGUAUAAUUUAUGGUAGCGGGGGACUGCGUUCGCGCUAACCCCUA